AUGCGGAGGAGGUGCGUGGCCAUCCCCUGGGAUGGGGCUGGGCGCUGUGCCCCUGGCUGUGCAUCCCCCGUGAUAUCACCGCCCCGGCACGCCGCGCUGCUCCGCCGGCUGUGGAACAGGGCCAGGCAGCAGAGGGAACCGGGGGGGGCCAUGCACACAGCUCACAGCUUGGAGCCGCUGUGCACAGACAGCACCCGUGUGUGCAGAGCUGCCUGCACACGUGUGUGUGGUUGUGGCACAGCCGUGCAUCCGUCGCUGCUUGCAGCGUGCCCCCUCUCCGUGCACACACACGCAUUGCACGCACAAACAUGCAAGUUGGCCGCGUUUCCGUGUGCACACGCGUGCAAAGGGCCCCCUGGGACACGUGUGGGGUGGAGGGCGGCUGCGGGUGGUUUGGGUGAGUGCUGUGGGGACGGGCUGGGAGCGGUGUGGGGCUGGGAGCGGUGUGGGGCUGGGAGCGGUGUGGGGCUGGGGCGGGCUGGAGGCCGCCGGCCGGCCGGGGGGGGGUGGGGUGAGACAUUCCUUGCGGCGCUUGUUAUUUUAUCUGGUUCAAAGUCAGUUCCUGGAAUGUUUUUAAUUCCAGGAUCCCGUCCCUGCGCCGGCAGUUCCCGCCCCGGCUCCCCCGGCCGCCUCCGCUCCCCACACUGGGGCUGCAAGGCCGCAGCCCCACGCCGUGCCCCACAGCCAUGGGGCCCCACGGAGGGGCUGAGCCCACGGCUGCACCGAGAACCACGUGUGUGGGGGGGCUGCGCGCGUCAAAGCCAUCCGCGAGGCGAGGAGUCGGGUCAGGCUGCACCCAUGGGUGCCCUCCGGUUGGAGGCCGCCCGCAGCCCCACGUGGGGGUUUGGGUUGGCCUCCGGGAGCACAGUGGGACCCCGCUGCUGCCGGCAGACGCUGUGUUCCUGGCUGUGUUCCUGGCUCCUGCCAAGGACACGCCGGCAGCGCAUCGCCCACCCGGUGUCUGGCACAGCCGCGCCAGCGCCGUCUCUCGCCAGCAGCCACCGCCGGGUGCCCGAUGUGGCAGCACCACCUGGGAUGGGGGUCCGACCCCAGGGGAGACUCGGCGCACGGCACGUGCAGCAACGGGGCGAGCGUGCAGACGUGCUGUGCACACGUGUUUGUGUGCAGCGGCUUGAUUGCACGCAUGCACAAACCCCUGCGUGCAAGCGUGGGGGUGCUGGGCGCGGGAGGCUGGUGUGCAAGGAGCAGGUUGUGCAAGGGGCUGUGUGUGCAAGGAGCGGGUUGGCACGCAGCAGGGCUGUGGCUGUGGGUGCACGUCGGCCCCACGGGUGUGACGGGAGGGCUGCGGCACCGCAGUUCUCACCACGGUGGGUGUUGCCCGACGCACCCUGCGCUGCGGGGGCUGUGCUGGCAGCACUGGGGGGCAUCGGGUCCAACCCGCCCGCACCCACCAGCCCUCUGCUUUUGGCACCGCAGCGCUGGGCAGGUCAGGGUCACCCUGUGCUGCACUUUAAGACUGAAGGCAAAUAUUUGCCCCGAGCCGGCGGCUGA
rnacentral:lncRNA from 1 species